rnacentral:misc_RNA from 1 species
UUCUUUAUCUCGCAUGUUAGCUCUUUGCAAAGGCUAGGGGAGAAAAUUCUCUCUUAAAAUAACAAUUCCUUUGUAUUAAGAGCAAUCUUUAAUGGUGUAUAAACAGUUUUGGUGAGGCUUUCUUCCUACUCUAAUGCCACUAGUGAGUGGAAUACUGAACUGACUCAUAAAGACUAUUUAAAUGGUUCACUUUUUCCUUGUUUCCCAUCUUCACUCGUACUCUAUGUUUGUUUAUUUCUUUUUUUUUUCCCCCAGAAAAAGAAAGAAACAUUUUUAGGAUGCUAAUUAUGAAUUGUGCGUAUGACUUGUGGUUUAUCUAAACAUCAGAUGACUAUAAAUGUUCAUGCCUAAUUUCAUUUACAUAUUCUGAGCAUGCAGAUAAUGGAUACUCUGGCAG